rnacentral:snRNA from 1 species
AUUCAUACCUUUCUCGGCCUUUUGGCUAAGAUCAAGUGUAGUAUCUGUUCUUAUCAGUAUAAUAUCUGAUAUGUGGGCCAUCGGCCCACACGAUAUUAACUCUAUUUUUUAAGGGAGAAAGCCCAUUAUGAUAGCUUGCUAUCUGGGCUUUCACGAGUCGACCAUGCGUUGCACUACUGCACGGUCUUGGCUCAACCCGCCAACUAUUCAGUCUAAAAA